GACGAACGCUGGCGGCGUGCUUAACACAUGCAAGUCGAACGAAGAGCGAUGGACGCUUGCUUCUAUCAAUCUUAGUGGCGAACGGGUGAGUAACGCGUAAUCAACCUGCCCUUCAGAGGGGGACAACAGUUGGAAACGACUGCUAAUACCGCAUACGAUCUAAUCUCGGCAUCGAGGAUAGAUGAAAGGUGGCCUCUACAUGUAAGCUAUCACUGAAGGAGGGGAUUGCGUCUGAUUAGCUAGUUGGAGGGGUAACGGCCCACCAAGGCGAUGAUCAGUAGCCGGUCUGAGAGGAUGAACGGCCACAUUGGGACUGAGUCACGGCCCAGACUCCUACGGGAGGCAGCAGUGGGGAAUCUUCCGCAAGGGACGAAAGUCUGACGGAGCAACGCCGCGUGAGUGAUGACGGCCUUCGGGUUGUAAAGCUCUGUUAAUCGGGACGAAAGGCCUUCUUGCGAAUAGUGAGAAGGAUUGACGGUACCGGAAGAGAAAGCCACGGCUAACUACGUG
rnacentral:rRNA from 1 species